CUACUGGGCGCAGCUGAUGCAGCGACGCCGCGUGAGUGAUGAGGCCUUCGGGUUGUAAGCUCUUUCUUUAGGGACGAUAAUGACGGUACCCAUUGAGGAGGCCACGGCUAACUCCGUGCCAGCCGGCCUUCGUGAUAACAGACGCGGUAAUAUUUA
rnacentral:rRNA from 1 species